CCUCUAAACAAAACCCAUUUCUGCCAUUACAGGGAAGAGUUGACAUUAGUGAGUAGGCACAUCUAUUAGUUGAAGGAGAUCUAGGGCUUAUGAGGACAACGCCACCCUCUAGCUUCAUGAGCAGCCAUUUUUAGGAGUGUUGGGUGACCAAUCACUAUAUCACAGGUGUCAUAUUAGUCUAUAGACCAACACAACAGUGUCAAGGAGCACUAAAACAUUGGCAGCAAACUAGGGCAACGGUAGGUUAAUCACUUCGCCAGCACCAGACCAAAACCAGGGUAUCACGAAACUACUAGAAUAAGUCUACAGACAUCCGAAAAAACAGAUUUGGGUUCUUCCGUUCCCCAGAAAGGCAUCCUCCCUGCAUUACUAAACAUUUGAUCAGGAAGGAGUGACGCGAUUACACCCAGGUCUGGCUUGAUAGGUGACAACACCCUUUCCAAAAUGCACACUAACUAUUUGUUCAUUAAACUGAAGGAUUUCAUAGUCUUAUCAUUGCUGUUUAAAGCCAUACUUUGGCAACAGUUGAAGGAAAGCUUACGAAUCAGCGUAUCGCUCUACAUUGUCUUGUCGCUAUGCGUGGUUAGAAGAUAUCCCUCAAUUAUCCCAACAUAAGUGCAACACAAAGUAAUGCAGAUAUUUACACACUGGCUAGUUCCAACAAUUGGCAGAUGCAAUUCAACUGCAAAUAGAUUGAUUUGCGGAGCAAUUGAUCGUUUUUCAAAUUCAAUGUGCCACCAUCCCCUAAUCAUGAUUCUGCGUUAUUUCAAGUUUUGUCCUCUGUUUUCCUAGAUCUUCAUUGUCCUAGGAUAGAAAAAAGUCAUGAAUUUUACUCAUGAGAUGUUGGAGUUUAGUAAUGGUUCAGAACUAUUGUUGUAAGUUGAACUUGUAACCAUAUAGCUCUCCUCUAAUCUUGAAACUGGUUGAUAUAACUGCCAUAUUGUGGGUGUUCUCCUUUCAUUAUAUGGGAAAUUUUUCAUUUUGUUGUU